AGCGAACGUUUGCGGCGGGCCUAACACAUGCAAGUCGAACGCACUAGCAAUAGUGAGUGGCGCACGGGUGCGUAACACGUGGGUAAUCAACCCUUCAGCCUGGGAUAACGACUCGAAAGGGUCGCUAAUACCGGAUACGGCGCGAGAGGCUUCGGCUUCUCACGAGAAAGCCACGCAAGGGGGCACUGAAGGACGAGCCUGCGGCCCAUCAGCUAGUUGGUGAGGUAAGAGCUCACCAAGGCUAAGACGGGUAGCUGGUCUGAGAGGAUGAUCAGCCACACUGGAACUGAGACACGGUCCAGACUCCUACGGGAGGCAGCAGUGGGGAAUAUUGCGCAAUGGGGGAAACCCUGACGCAGCAACGCCGCGUGAGUGAGGAAGGACUUCGGUCUGUAAAGCUCUGUUAAUGUGGAAAAAUGGUAGUUGGUCUAAUAGGCCGAUUAUUUGAUGGUACACAUAGAGGAAGCACCGGCUAACUUCGUGCCAGCA
rnacentral:rRNA from 1 species